GGGCGGUUAGCUCAGUGGUAGAGCACUGCCUUCACACGGCAGGGGUCACUGGUUCGAAACCAGUAUCGCCCACCA
rnacentral:tRNA from 1 species